rnacentral:rRNA from 1 species
GAUGAACGCUGGCGGCGUGCCUAAUACAUGCAAGUCGAGCGAACAGAUAAGGAGCUUGCUCCUUUGACGUUAGCGGCGGACGGGUGAGUAACACGUGGGUAACCCACCUAUAAGACUGGGAUAACUUCGGGAAACCGGAGCUAAUACCGGAUAACAUUUGGAACCGCAUGGUUCUAAAGUGAAAGAUGGUUUUGCUAUCACUUAUAGAUGGACCCGCGCCGUAUUAGCUAGUUGGUAAGGUAACGGCUUACCAAGGCGACGAUACGUAGCCGACCUGAGAGGGUGAUCGGCCACACUGGAACUGAGACACGGUCCAGACUCCUACGGGAGGCAGCAGUAGGGAAUCUUCCGCAAUGGGCGAAAGCCUGACGGAGCAACGCCGCGUGAGUGAUGAAGGGUUUCGGCUCGUAAAACUCUGUUAUUAGGGAAGAACAAAUGUGUAAGUAACUGUGCACGUCUUGACGGUACCUAAUCAGAAAGCCACGGCUAACUACGUG